AUACGGAAGGUCCGGGCGUUAUCCGGAUUUAUUGGGUUUAAAGGGAGCGCAGGCGGAGAUGCAAGCGUGACGUCAAAUUUCGGGGCUCAACCCCGUCUCGCGUCGCGAACUGCGUCCCUUGGUUGCGGGAAGGGGAGGCGGGACCCGUGGUGUAGCGGGGAAAUGCAUAGAUAUCACGAAGAACUCCGAUCGCGAAGGCAGCCUUCCGGCCCGUCAACGACGCUCAUGCUCGAAGGUGCGGGUAUCAAACAGGAUUAGAUACCCUGGUAGUCCGCACAGUAAACGAUGGACACCCGCGGUUUGGCCUAUAUGGCUGAGCCGCCAAGCGAAAGCGUUAAGUGUCCCACCUGGGGAGUACGCCGGCAACGGUGAAACUCAAAUGAAUUGGCGGGG
rnacentral:rRNA from 1 species